rnacentral:misc_RNA from 1 species
GUGAAUCAUCGAAUUUUUGAACGCAAAUUGCACUCUCUUCGGAGAGUAUGCCUGUUUGAGGGUCAGCCUAAAAAAAAAGCUACAGAGUCGCUGUUUCGCGGUGGCAUGCGGCGGAAUGUGGGUCAUCUUAAACUUUUGAGUUUUUAAGCUGCUUAAACUUUUCUUUCCGAUUGCACGAACGUUUGUAAGAUUUUACUUCUUACACACGUUUUAGGUCUCGAUUUGU